rnacentral:rRNA from 1 species
UACGAAGGGGGCUAGCGUUGUUCGGAAUUACUGGGCGUAAAGCGCGCGUAGGCGGUUUUGCAAGCCAGAGGUGAAAUGCCUGAGCUCAACUUAGGAAUUGCCUUUGGGACUGCGAGGCUUUGAGGACUGGAGAGGUGAGUGGAAUUCCCAGUGUAGAGGUGAAAUUCGUAGAUAUUGGGAAGAACACCGGUGGCGAAGGCGGCUCACUGGCCAGUUUCUGACGCUGCA